rnacentral:misc_RNA from 1 species
UCCGGUUUAACACCGGCAGUCUCCAUAGAGUGCCCAACUGAAUGAUGGCAACUAAGGACAAGGGUUGCGCUCGUUAAGGGACUUAACCCGACAUCUCACGAUACGAGCUGACGACAGCCAUGCAGCACCUCUGCUGGCUCCCUUGCGGGUCAGCCUCUGUUUCCAAAGACUUACCACCAGUAGUUCAAGCCCAGGUAAGGUUCUUCGCGUUGCGUCGAAUUAAACCACAUGCUCCACCGCUUGUGCGGGCCCCCGUCAAUUCCUUUGAGUUUUAAUCUUGCGACCGUACUCCCCAGGCGGAUGACUUCUCGCGUUAGCUGCGUUACUAAAGGAUUUAACUCCUCCAACAACUAGUCAUCAUCGUUUAGGGCGUGGACUAC